rnacentral:rRNA from 1 species
AGAUUGAACGCUGGCGGAAUGCUUUACACAUGCAAGUCGAACGGCAGCACGGGACUCAGGCAACUGAGCCCUGGUGGCGAGUGGCGAACGGGUGAGUAACAUAUCGGAACGUACCCAGUCGUGGGGGAUAACUCUCCGAAAGGAGAGCUAAUACCGCAUACGUCCUGAGGGAGAAAGCGGGGACCUAAGGGUAACUGAGGGCCUCGCGCGAUUGGAGCGGCCGAUAUCGGAUUAGCUAGUUGGUGAGGUAAAGGCUCACCAAGGCGACGAUCCGUAGCGGUCUGAGAGGACGACCGCCACACUGGAACUGAGACACGGUCCAGACUCCUACGGGAGCAGCAGUGGGGAAUUUUGGACAAGUGGGGGACAACCCUGAUCCAGCCAUUCCGCGUGAGUGAAGAAGGCCUUCGGUUAGUAAGCUCUUUCAGUCAGGAACG